UNGGAAUCACUGGGCGUAAAGGACGCGUAGGCGGAUUAUCAAGUNUCUUGUGAAAUCUAACGGCUUANCCGUUAAACUGCUUGGGAAACUGAUAAUCUAGAGUAAGGGAGAGGCAGAUGGAAUUCUUGGUGUAGGGGUAAAAUCCGUAGAGAUCAAGAAGAAUACCCAUUGCGAAAGCGAUCUGCUGGAACUUAACUGACGCUAAUGCGUGAAAGCGUGGGGAGCAANCAGGAUUAGAUACCCUGGUAGUCCACGCCCUAAACGAUGUAUACUAGUUGUUGCUUCGCUAGUCGAGGCAGUAAUGCACCUAACGGAUUAAGUAUACCGCCUGGGGAGUACGGUCGCAAGAUUAAAACUCAAAGGAAUAGACGGGGACCCGCACAAGCGGUGGAGCAUGUGGUUUAAUUCGAAGAUACGCGAAGAACCUUACCCGGACUUGAUAUCUAACAAAUCAUCCAGAGAUGGAAGAGUGUCUGCUUGCAGAAAUGUUAAGACAGGUGCUGCACGGCUGUCGUCAGCUCGUGUCGUGAGAUGUUGGGUUAAGUCCCGCAACGAGCGCAACCCACGUCAUUAGUUGCUAACGGUUCGGCCGAGCACUCUAAUGAGACUGCCUUCGCAAGGAGGAGGAAGGUGUGGACGACGUCAAGUCAUCAUGGCCCUUAUGUCCGGGGCGACACACGUGCUACAAUGGCGUAUACAAUGAGACGCAAUAUCGCGAGAUGGAGCAAAUCUAUAAAAUACGUCCCAGUUCGGAUUGGAGUCUGCAACUCGACUCCAUGAAGCCGGAAUCGCUAGUAAUCGUAGAUCAGCCAUGCUACGGUGAAUACGUUCCCGGGUCUUGUACUCACCGCCCGUCACACCAUGGGAGUUGAUUUCACUCGAA
rnacentral:rRNA from 1 species